AUGCUGCUACUUUCGUUCUCCUCGUACGUGACAGCAGCGCCACCGUUGCUGUUCAACAGCCCCUUUGCAGCUCCCCCCGUGCCAUCUCUUCCAGCAGCACCACCGCUCUUGCCAGCCGCGUCUGCUGCAGCGCAGCUCCGUCCGUGGCAGCAGCGUCUUCGUUGCCUCUCCAGCUGCAACGCAGCUUCGCCGUCAGCAUGGCAGCAUCGUCGUCGUAGCAUCGCGUGCAGCAACCAAGCUCCAUCGCCAGCCAUGGCAGCAGCUCGUCGCCUCGUCCGCCGCAACGCAGCUCGCCAUCGGCGUGGCAGCAGCUCGUCGCCUCGUCCGCCGCAACGCAGCUCGCCAUCGGCGUGGCAGCAGCGCCCGUUGUAG
rnacentral:rRNA from 1 species